UGGGAAUGAUGACCUUCUGUGUAGGAAUCUCAAUGAGUGACUGUGACAUAAAAAUGCAGUAAAUUCACUGACCCC
rnacentral:snoRNA from 15 species